ensembl:snoRNA SNORD81 Small nucleolar RNA SNORD81
GAGAAUGCAAGAUUUUCUCUCACUGAUUACUUGAUGACAAUAAAAGAUCUGAUAUUCUG